GAUGAACGCUAGCUACAGGCUUAACACAUGCAAGUCGAGGGGAAGCGACAUCGAAAGCUUGCUUUUGAUGGGCGUCGACCGGCGCACGGGUGAGUAACGCGUAUCCAACCUGCCCAUCACUUGGGGAUAACCUUGCGAAAGUAAGACUAAUACCCAAUGAUAUCUCUAGAAGACAUCUGAAAGAGAUUAAAGAUUUAUCGGUGAUGGAUGGGGAUGCGUCUGAUUAGCUUGUUGGCGGGGUAACGGCCCACCAAGGCAACGAUCAGUAGGGGUUCUGAGAGGAAGGUCCCCCACAUUGGAACUGAGACACGGUCCAAACUCCUACGGGAGGCAGCAGUGAGGAAUAUUGGUCAAUGGGCGAGAGCCUGAACCAGCCAAGUAGCGUGCAGGAAGACGGCCCUAUGGGUUGUAAACUGCUUUUAUAAGGGAAUAAAGUGAGAGUCGUGACUCUUUUUGUAUGUACCUUAUGAAUAAGGACCGGCUAAUUCCGUG
rnacentral:rRNA from 1 species